ACUUCACUGUUGUGAUAAGACUCUCACCGGCAAUUUCCAAUGUCUGCGGAACGUUGACGGAGUCAUUAGGUUUCCAUUAACGUCAAUGUGUGUAUUUCCACUGACUGCAGAACGG